CUACGGGGGGCUGCAGUGGGGAAUUUUGGACAAUGGGGGCAACCCUGAUCCAGCCAUGCCGCGUGAGUGAAGAAGGCCUUCGGGUUGUAAAGCUCUUUCAGCCGGGAAGAAAUCGCAUGGGUUAAUACCCUGUGCGGAUGACGGUACCGGAAUAAGAAGCACCGGCAACUACGUGCCAGCAGCCGCGGUAAUACGUAGGGUGCGAGCGUUAAUCGGAAUUACUGGGCGUAAAGCGUGCGCAGGCGGAUGCUUAAGUCAGAUGUGAAAUCCCCGGGCUUAACCUGGGAAUUGCAUUUGAAACUGGGUGUAUAGAGUGCGUCAGAGGGGGGUGGAAUUCCACGUGUAGCAGUGAAAUGCGUAGAUAUGUGGAGGAACACCAAUGGCGAAGGCAGCCCCCUGGGAUGACACUGACGCUCAUGCACGAAAGCGUGGGGAGCAAACAGGAUUAGAUACCCCCGUAGUC
rnacentral:rRNA from 1 species